AGUGAACGCUGGCGGUAGGCCUAACACAUGCAAGUCGAACGGCGGCACAGUAAGAGCUUGCUCUUACGGGUGGCGAGUGGCGGACGGGUGAGGAAUACAUCGGAAUCUACUUUUUCGUGGGGGAUAACGUAGGGAAACUUACGCUAAUACCGCAUACGACCUACGGGUGAAAGCAGGGGAUCUUCGGACCUUGCGCGAUUGAAUGAGCCGAUGUCGGAUUAGCUAGUUGGCGGGGUAAAGGCCCACCAAGGCGACGAUCCGUAGCUGGUCUGAGAGGAUGAUCAGACACACUGGAACUGAGCCACGGUCCAGACUCCUACGGGAGGCAGCAGUGGGGAAUAUUGGACAAUGGGCGCAAGCCUGAUCCAUCCAUACCGCGUGGGUGCAGAAGGGCUUCGGGUUGUAAAGCCCUUUUGUUGGGAAAGAAAAGCAGCAGGUUAAUACCCCGCUGUUCUGACGGUACCCAAAGAAUAAGCACCGGCUAACUUCGUG
rnacentral:rRNA from 1 species